GACGAACGCUGGCGGCGUGCUUAACACAUGCAAGUCGAACGGAAAGGCCCUGCUUUUGUGGGGUGCUCGAGUGGCGAAUGGGUGAGUAACACGUGAGUAACCUGCCCUUGACUUUGGGAUAACUUCAGGAAACUGGGGCUAAUACCGGAUAGGAGCUCCUGCUGCAUGGUGGGGGUUGGAAAGUUUCGGCGGUUGGGGAUGGACUCGCGGCUUAUCAGCUUGUUGGUGGGGUAGUGGCUUACCAAGGCUUUGACGGGUAGCCGGCCUGAGAGGGUGACCGGCCACAGUGGGACUGAGAUACGGCCCAGACUGCUACGGGAGGCAGCAGUGGGGAAUAUUGCACAAUGGGCGGAAGCCUGAUGCAGCAACGCCGCGUGCGGGAUGACGGCCUUCGGGUUGUAAACCGCUUUCGCCUGUGACGAAGCGUGAGUGACGGUAAUGGGUAAAGAAGCACCGGCUAACUACGUG
rnacentral:rRNA from 1 species